rnacentral:rRNA from 1 species
UACGUAGGUGGCAAGCGUUGUCCGGAUUUAUUGGGCGUAAAGCGCGCGCAGGCGGUUCGUUAAGUCCGAGGUGAAAUCUCCUGGCUCAACUGGGAGGGGUCUUCGGAUACUGGCGGACUUGAGGAGAGCAGAGGUGAGUGGAAUUCUCGGUGUAGUGGUGAAAUGCGUAGAUAUCGAGAGGAACACCAGCGGCGAAGGCGGCUCACUGGGCUCCACCUGACGCUGAGGCGCGAAAGCAUGGGGAGCAAACAGG